AAACCAAAAACAAAGAGAUCGAUCGAACUCUGAAACUCAAUGUUCCUCAAAUUGAGUGUACCCCAAGAGUUACUCCUUUAACUCUUGACUAAACAGAGGUGACUGCAGGUGCGCCAUUUUUGGACUGCACAGCCUCCAAUGUCUUGUAGAACUCCUCAGGAACAGGACCAGGUCGAUGCAAAGGAACAUGCUUCGGAACUGGCGCAUCAUUUUCUAUAACUUCGCACUCAUAGUCAUCAGGAACACCCCAAGGAUC
rnacentral:misc_RNA from 1 species